rnacentral:rRNA from 1 species
GACGUAGGGAGCGAGCGUUGUCCGGAUUCAUUGGGCGUAAAGAGCGCGCAGGCGGUUUGGUAAGUCGGAUGUGAAAACCCGGGGCUCAACCCCGGGCGUGCAUCUCGAUACUGCCCGACUAGAGGUAGGUAGGGGAGAUCGGAAUUCCUGGUGUAGCGGUGAAAUGCGCAGAUAUCAGGAGGAACACCUGAGGCGAAGGCGGGCUACUGGGCCGAUACUGACGCUGAGACGCGAAAGCGUGGGGAGCAAACAGG